rnacentral:rRNA from 1 species
UACGUAGGCAGCAAGCGUUGUUCGGAAUUACUGGGCGUAAAGAGUGUGUAGGCGGUGCUCCAAGUCUGGUGUGAAAUCUCCCGGCUUAACUGGGAGGGUGCAUUAGAAACUGGAAUGCUAGAGGAUGGGAGAGGUAAGCGGAAUUCCUGGUGUAGCGGUGAAAUGCGUAGAUAUCAGGAGGAACACCUGCGGUGUAGACAGCUUACUGGACCAUUUCUGACGCUGAGACACGAAAGCGUGGGUAGCAAACAGG